UGAUAACUGGGAGUUAGAGCUUGUGACUCCAGGCUACUGGAAUCCUGUAACUGUUGCACUGCUGUGAACUGACUCUGCUGGCCAAAGCUAUCGGUUAUGGUAAAACCUAGCACAAAAAAAUAAUGGCUACAAGAGAGCAAUCAAAUCCAGCACUUCAGAUGUCACAAAUCACAACAGAAGAGAGAGCAAGCAAAUGAAGAAAACUGGCUGACACAUCUCAUAGCUGCCAGAAACAACUGGGGCAAACUAAAAAGUUGAGACUGUGAAUGAGAGAGAAGGAUUUGGGUGACUCGGGACAAUCACAACCUGGACAUGGCUUGUCGAAGGUGGUGGAUGACCAGAAGAAACCUUGGGAAGUUCAGCCUUAAAAUGACAGAGACACAGACUAUAAUUCCAGCAUUCAUAGCGCAGAGGUAGGAAUGAAGGUGGAAGAAAGUUGCCCUGGUGAUGGAUUGGAUGCAGAGAAGAAAGCUCAGCUCAGCUUAGUCCAUUUAACUAAUGGGUUGAAGAAAAACGACAUACUUUGCAGCUAUUCUACAUGAUGUAAGUUGCCCCACGAGAGAGAAUGGCUCAGCUAAUGAAAUAACCUUUAAUGCUACCUGGACUCCAUGUUUUGCCUUGGUAUUUAGUCCACCAGGCACCUCUGGCAGAUUUGUGCCCACCGGGCUCAAAAAUAACUGGGAGGAAUUUCUGAGGCUCUUGGUCCAUUCCACAAGAGAAAAAAAGCAAAGGCCCUUCUGCCAUCACAUUUUAUACUCUGCCUGUCCAACCUAAAAUAAGCAGCAAGUUAUUGGUUCAUAUGCUAUUUUGAAGUAUGCAUGUUCAAUAAAAGGCAAAAGAUUGCCCAAGGCAUAU